rnacentral:rRNA from 1 species
GACGAACGCUGGCGGCGUGCUUAACACAUGCAAGUCGAACGGACCGGCCCUGCUUUUGUGGUGUUCUCGAGUGUCGAACGGGUGAGUAACACUUGCGUAUCCUGCCCUUGACUUUGGGAUAACUUCAGGAAACUGGGGCUAAUACCGGAUCGGAGCUCCUUCUGCUUGGUGGGGGUUUGAUAGUUUGGGCGGAUGGGGAUGGACUCGCGGCUGAUCAGCUUGUUGGUGGGGUAGUGGCUUACCAAGGCUUUGACGGGUAGCCGGCCUGAGAGGGUGACCGGCCACAGUGAGACUGAGAUACGGACCAGACUCAGACGGGAGGCAGAAGUAGGAAAAAGUGAACAAUGGGAGGAAGCCAGAGGCAGAAAGGGCGAGUGCGGGAGGAGGGCCUUCGGGUUGGAAACCGAUUUCGCCGGUGACGAAGAGGAAGUGAAGGUAAUGGGUAAAGAAGCACCGGCUAAAUAAGUG